CUGGAGGCUUUGAUGUCUCCAUGUGUCCCAGUGAGCAGUGCUUAUGUGGGCCUUUCUCCUGGUGGCUCUGUUAUUCUCAGGGGAAAAGAAGAAGAAAUACUAUCAGUGCAUUCUUUGUCCCAUAGGCAUUACAACAUAAACAAGGGGUUGUUAGAAAAGUUCAGAGCCAGCUGUACUGCUCCUUUACAUCCCACUGAAGUGGUAUUGUUUCCCUGUGUCCAGCAGUGAGCACUCAGAGCUGAGCCUCUGGUGUCCCAGGCACUGAAUAAAGAUGGCAGAGACUUCCUUUGGAAGUGUAUUACAUCUGAGCAGCAGCACAUUAAGAUUCCUAAAUCCACAGGAUCUUGGUGCUGUGCCUGAAGUACCCAAGCUCUGCAUUAAGCAUUUGCAAGACAGAGAAUCAUAGAAUGGCCUGGUUUGAAAAGGACCACAAUGGUCAACUCGUUUCAACCCCCUGCUAUGUGCAGGGUCGCCAACCACCAGACCAGGCUGCCCAGAGCCACAUCCAGCCUGGCCUUGAAUGCCUCCAGGGAUGGUGCAUCCACAACCUCCUUGGGCAACCUGUUCCAGUGCAUCACCACCGUCUGUGUGAAAAACUUCCUCCUAAUAUCCAACCUAAACCUCCUCUGUCUCAGUUUAAAACCAUUCCCCCUUGUCCUAUCACCAUCCAGUUGCAGAGCUGUGACCUGUGACAUCUGGCCAUUGCUACACCUUUGCAAACUCAGCCCCUCAGCCCACCAGGUUUCACAGGCUCCACUUCACCAUCUUCUAAAUGAAUCCUUGCAGGGCUGAAGCAACUGUACUGAAGCAUUCAGCCCUCCCCAUCCCUUCUGCUAAGAGCUGUAUACUCUGUCUCCCUUCCAUUUGGGAGCUUUCUCUUUGCCAUUCACGUUGCUGUGCUGCAGCUCAGCAGACCUGAACUGCAGGACACUGAGAAAUUUGGUGCACCCCGGCUUUGUACCCACCCCUGCAGCCCCAGCUGCCCCACAGCCAAGGCUCUCUGCCUCUUCCAGCCCCCUUAUGCAGAAACGGAGUUUCUGGAUGCUCUCGCUCCCUUUGGUCGCUCUGUGAGCACGAGGACCCGGCCGUUGCCUUUAGCCUGACCGACAGCCCCUUUGCUGGCUGGCUUUGCAGCAGAGGGCGCUGCGGACUGCGGAGCGGCUGCCCUCCGCUGGGUGCUCUGCCGGAGCCCUUCGCUGCUGCUCGGCUCCUCAGGACAAAAGUCAGACAAAACCACCCUUAUGCAGCAGCCGCGUGAUGGCCAUCCUGCAUCAACCCUGCCUGCUACAUCACAGCACUGACUAAAAUGAUGCCUGAACUACAGUAGGGCCAGAGAAGAGGACAGUGCCAGGCCCCAACCAAUUCCGGCUGGGCUCUCCUACCACAGCCACUGUACAUUCCAUAUUUGGCUCCUUCUGACUUCCACCUGUUCAGACCAAUGAAAAAAGGACUUUGAGGGCAGCAUAUUCCCAGCACAGUGCUGUUGCUGUGAAACUGUGGGGUCACCUCCACAGGUGCAGAUAAUUACAAGAGUGGCACACAGGCUCUUGUCCAUCACUGGCAAAAAUGC
ensembl:lncRNA